rnacentral:rRNA from 1 species
UACGAAGGGGGCUAGCGUUGCUCGGAAUCACUGGGCGUAAAGCGCACGUAGGCGGCUUUCUAAGUCAGGGGUGAAAUCCUGGAGCUCAACUCCAGAACUGCCUUUGAUACUGGAGAGCUAGAGUCCGGAAGAGGUGAGUGGAACUGCGAGUGUAGAGGUGAAAUCCGUAGAUAUUCGCAAGAACACCAGUGGCGAAGGCGGCUCACUGGUCCGGUACUGACGCUGAGGUGCGAAAGCGUGGGGAGCAAACAGG